rnacentral:lncRNA from 1 species
CAUCUUGCCGUGGGAUGCUGUUUGGCGGUACACCUGCGCCACCUUAUGGCCAAAUAUAGUUACUACAAGUUGAGACCUACAAGCGAAAAGAGCAUCGAAAUUAAAGAACAACAGGCUUCUACUGAAAGAAAACAGAAAACACCCAUCUUCAAAAAGCCAAAAGACAUUGAACAUGCAGGGACCUAAAGAAGAGAAGAUAGCUAUCCAGAAAGAACCAUCAAACAAAGAAGAGUCUGACAUAUGGAUCUCAUGGAGUCAUCAUCAUCCCAUUUCAGCAGGAAGUAAUCCUAAGAAAACAGUACCCCCCUUCCCUACUGUUGGCCUUACGGAAUAAUAUUCCUGCAUAGGCACCGAGCUAUUCCCGAGAAAAUGUUGGGCACCGAUGUCACUCCUUCAGGAGUCCAUCCUCUCCUCGGCUACUGGCUUCUAGGGCAAAGAACUGCCCCCACCUCGACUGCUGUCUUUGGACAUGCUGUCCUACUGUGCUUCCAGGAGAUAAACAUCGAAGACUGUUGCCAAGUCAGGGGUCUCAUACAGCCCAGACUGGCCUUAAACUUGCUAUGCAGCUGAAGAUGACUUUGAACUAAUUGCCCUGGUGCUUGCACUUCGCGUGCUGAGAUUACA